rnacentral:rRNA from 1 species
UGGGGAAUAUUGCACAAUGGGCGGAAGCCUGAUGCAGCAACGCCGCGUGAGUGAAGAAGGUUUUCGGAUUGUAAAGCUCUGUCAUAUGGGACGAUAGUGACGGUACCAUAUGAGGAAGCCACGGCUAACUACGUGCCAGCAGCCGCGGUAAUACGUAGGUGGCAAGCGUUGUCCGGAAUUACUGGGCGUAAAGGGUGCGCAGGCGGACAUUUAAGUGAGAUGUGAAAGACCCGGGCUUAACUUGGGCAGGGCAUUUCAAACUGGGUGUCUUGAGUGCAGGAGAGGAGAACGGAAUUCCUAGUGUAGCGGUGAAAUGCGUAGAGAUUAGGAAGAACACCAGUGGCGAAGGCGGUUCUCUGGACUGUAACUGACGCUGAGGCACGAAAGCGUGGGUAGCAAACAGG